AGGUGAGAAGAAAGAGUUUCGAUUGACUUUGGCGAAGAUUGUACAAGUAAUCGAAAGUGAGAUCAAAUCCAUCGAUCCAUUCACGGGAUCACUCCCGGGUCAGUGAAAAAGGAACUCCUCUCUUUUCUCUUUUUCUCUUUUUCUAGUCACUCGAGUGGCAAGUUGCUAUGGCCAGUGCUCUUGGUGUCAGGGUUGGAGACGUCGCUGGUCGAGAUUUGGAGUUCUCCUUCAUCCUCGAUCUCGAUUCUUUCGUUCUGCAGCGAUCGAUCCAGCUAAAGAUCAAACGAUACGAUAGGAGAGAAAAACCAAAAGAGUGUACCUGCGAUUCUUUGAGUGACGAGAAUAAUGUGAUCGCUGUCGCAGCUGCUAUUCCAAAGACUGGCGCGAUGGCUUUGGCCAUGUCCAUGUCUGCUUGUUUCUGUUCAAGCGGUGACCUUAUCAUCCUGGAUUUUGAGUAUCGAUCGAUAACUUAACGGGAAGAAGAUACCUUUCUCGACUGACUGGAAAUGCCCAAAACACGAGCUCGAUCGAUCGAUGAGCGACGAGACUUAUGAUUCGACUCCACAAGAGUCCCCUUAUUUGCUUGCAGGAGAGAGAAACAAUGAAAUCCAGCACGUACAAGAGAAGUGUUUUUCAGUUUAGUCGGGCUUUAUAUAUACAAGCGCGGGCCGACUUGAAGGGUGAAUGAGACGAGGCCACCUGUGCAUCUGCGAUGCUGACACGUGUUUGAUAUUUAUGCGGCUACUGGGGAAGAUUCUUCUACCACCGUUUUGAACAUGUCAAACGCAGAGAAAAACAAAACAGCUAAUAUUUUAACAUUAGAGCAAUUAAAAUCUAGGAAGUUAUACUUUGAUUGUUUUACUUUGGGCAGCAUUGUCUAAAUAGCACAGUAGUGUUCUUAUCCCAAGAUAUACUAAGAACACGAGGAAUACAAUGAGAAACAAAAAGUGUUUUUAUAAUAUUUUAGAGGAACUCAAGAGGAAUUAGAUUCCCUACCAUUCUAGGAGUGCAAAAGCACAUUUUCACUGGAAGGUACAAUUUUGAAUAGAAUAAACUUUCUAGACAUAUUGUGAGUAAUGUCAAAUCAAGAAUCAAUUUUUGUUGCCAAUGGACAGCUACUCUAAAGUACUUUUAAAAGACCGUGAACCUAACUUCGCAAUACAGAGUCCAGAUGUGUUUGAUAGGAUUUUUCAUAUUAUAAGAGGAGUUAGUAAGGGGAUCAAUUUGAGCAGGGAUAUUUUUGCCGGUAAUGUUCCAAGCUGAACCAGGUUUUAACUCUACGACGCAUCAAAUAUAUUCAAGUGGGCAAUGGUCGUGAUGUAGGACUAUCAAUAUUUGAGGCCCAAGUGGCAAACGGGAACGGUGAACAGACUUUAAGCAGGGCUUAGGCCAACCGCUUUGAUUUCUUCCUAAUGUUGUCCUUCUACAGUACAUGAUAUUACUUCAGCACCAUAUUUCCAACUGAUCAACUACUGCGAAGCCAAACCUGAUUGGAGUGCAGUAUCAGGCUGUGCUGCCCUGACAAAAGACCUCUCAAGUCCACUGAGUGCUAGUACAAGAAAACAUAUACUGUAACAAUGACUACCUGAGAAAGGGGAAACCACUUAGGGUGGAGGUCUGGACUCGAUCGUGGUUUCCGUAUGGACUUCAUUGCCGUGCAGCUAUAGCUCGCCUCUGUUCUUCACAUUCUCUUUGGGCUCCAAAGUUCACUACUAUGGACGUACCAUCUUUCAAAGGGGUGCCGAGUACAGCCAAGUACAGAGCUACAGGUUGCGAAUUCGUGGUGAGGCACCCUGAUAGCUAUAGGCUCUACUCAAGAAGUUACUUUGUCAAAGGCUUCGAGCUGAUGAUCCUGCUCGUCAUAUACAGCGUUUAUGAAUCGCGGUGAGUUUUGAGAUCGCUCCGCCGUGAGUAGCUCCGCUCUGAGCCGGAUACAUAACAGGCUCCAGAAUGCCGUGCUUCGAUCUAGCGGAGGAAUCAACGGGCUUUCGGCUUGAAUCAGCUCGUCCGACGGCGAAGUCCGCGCCGCCAACAAUGUUCUUGCGUCGAGACUCGUGGGAUGAUAAUUGGUGACAACGCAAAGAAGGAUGGCAGUCACAGGAGUCGAUCACUCUCGGAGUUUUAGAGGUUUUUUUCGUUUUGGCUGGAAGAUGUCGUGUACAGGCAUGGAUGGAGGAAGAAUAAGGAAGAAUUAAACAAGACUUUGCCGUUCUUCAAGAGGUAACGAGGAAAGAAAGAAUUAGAGCAGAGAGAAGUUGUGACACGUCUUCGACCAGGUGUGUUGUCGUAAUGUUCUUGGGGUAACUUCCGACACAAAAAAGGUACUAAAAGAAAAAGCUUUUAAAGGCUGUUGUCUCUAAAGUAAGGUGAGAAGAAAGAGUUUCGAUUGACUUUGGCGAAGAUUGUACAAGAAAAAGUAAUCGAAAGUGAGAUAAAAAUCCAUCGAUCCAUUCACGGGAUCACUCCCCGGUCAGUGAAAAAAUAACUGCUCUCUUUUUCUCUUUUCUUGUCACUGGAGAGGCAAGUUGCUGUGCCCAGUGGUCUUGGUGUCUGGAUUGGAGACGUCGCUGGUCGAGAUUUGGAGCUCUCCUUCAUCCUCGAUCUCGAUUCUUUCGUUCUGCAGCAAUCGAUCCAGCUAAUGAUCAAUCAAAAGAGGAGAGAAAAACCAAAAGAGUGUACCUGCGAUUCUUUGAGUGUCGAGAAUAACGUGAUCGCUGUCGCAGCUGCUAUUCCAAAGACUGGCGCGAGGGCUUUGGCCAUAUCCAUGUCUGCUUGUUUCCGUUCAAGCGGUGACCUUCCCAUCCUUGAUUUUGAGUAUCGAUAGAGAACUUAACGGGAAGAAUGCAAAGGACUCUACCUUUCUCGACUGACUGGAAAUACCCAAAACACGUGCCGAGAUUUAUGAUUCGACUCCACAAAAAUCCCCUUCUUUGCUUGCUAGGAAAGAAAAAAAAUGAAUCCCACCAGCGCGUACAAGGGAAGUGUCCUUCAGUUUAGUCGGGCUUAUAUACAAGGGCG
rnacentral:lncRNA from 1 species